GGAGCACAAAGGCGGAGGAGUUUUCACUGCUCAUCUGUGUUCGCCUGCGAAUUUAUCUACCAGAUAGAUAAAGCAGCGGUUAGGCAAUGUUUCUCGGCUCUGUUUCAUUACGAGGUGUGAGGGGAGGUGGUCUUGAUUCACUUGCUGUUAACUGUUUUGAAAUAAAGUAGAUCAGUACAGAACAUCCAUAAAGAGGCAGAAUUCGUUGUCCCAAGACCAAGCGCAACCUUUUUUCUGUUUCCACAUACAAGCACAUCAUUUUGCUAUUAAGAAUUCCAUUUUCUCACAAGUGACUGUUUCUUCAUUCUAAUCCAAAGAACCUAAGCAAGUUUUGCACCUUGUAGGCACGGCUGUAAUCUUUUGGGUCUCCCCUUAAGAAACUUUUCCAUUUGUUAAAUGUUCAGUCCAACUUAAGCAGGACUCUCAUUAACUAUUACAUAAAGUAGUUUACUGGGGUUAAAAAGACCUUCCAUUAACAAAUUAAUCCAACGAAAGUGUACGUACUAGGUGGGGCUAUUUACAGAUUGAAGGGUUACACCUUUACAUUAAAAGUCAGUCCAAAGGGAUUUAACGCCUUCCUUUUCCAAAUACUCAAAUGUUCAUUUCAGAUCCUGUGACUCGGCCUUUUAAAACGGCUCUCCACUGGAUUUCCCAGACAGAACUACAUUUAGCAAUGGGUCUCCUGACUUCCUGGUACUAAACGCAACCACAAGGGCUGGUUGGGGCUGGCUGGUUGUAAAACAUUUGCUCCACUGGCCUCCCGGGGAGUGGGGAGAAGAGGGCUUUCUCUACACGAGAGCCGCUAGCACGGUGAGGGUGCUCAAGGCGUUCUAACAACAAAAACCGAGCGUCCAGACAGUAAUAGUACGGCAGGGGUUAAGAGCGGAUUUUCUUUCCCAGGCGAGACCUGGGCGCGGGCCGGGCCGGGCUGCGAACCUCCGGCGCCCGGGCUGAAGGAGAAAAGGAGACAGGUCUGGAGUGGGGUGUAGAUUCCAGGCAAUGCUGAAGCUGGUGGUCCGCAGACCACACGCCAAAGAAUGAGGGACACUCGAGGACACUCAUUGUUCACCUCAUGGACACUCUGGCAACAUAGUGAACCAGACCUGGAAGACAGCAAGGGCCAUGACGAGAGAGCAUAUGCAAAAGAG